rnacentral:lncRNA from 1 species
CCGGGCCCCAGCUAGUGAUCCAUCUUUUAUGUUACUAAUUAGUUUAAGACGUACACGUUCUCUAACUCACCAUAUCUAGGCUCCUUGGAAUGAGGUGAAGCCAGUGCUUUAAUUAGGGUGAUUGAGCUAAGCCAAACUUGUGGAGUACAAUGAUUUAAGCAACAUGAAGUUGAUGCCUUUCAUUUGAAGGGAAAAAGAUAUUAGUUUGGUGGUGAUGCAGAAGGAUCGUGGCUUGGAAUUAAGCCUCUUAACGGUGGAUGAAGGGUCCCCCACUGACUAAGCUUGCUAAACACGCAC